rnacentral:rRNA from 1 species
UACGUAGGGGCUAGCGUUGUCCGGAAUCAUUGGGCGUAAAGCGCGCGUAGGCGGCCCGGUAAGUCCGCUCUGAAAGUCCAGGGCUCAACCCUGGAAAGCGGGUGGAUACUGCCGGGCUAGAAUCCGGAAGAGGCGAGUGGAAUUCCUGGUGUAGCGGUGGAAUGCGUAGAGAUCCGGAAGAACACCGGUGGCGAAGGCGGCCUGCUGGGCAGUUGCUGACACUGAGACGCGACAGCGUGGGGAGCAA